rnacentral:lncRNA from 1 species
CAAUGGAUGGUCCAAAAGGGUAAUCGAGGACUGUUGUCAUUCCUCAUGAAAAGGAAGAUGGCCCAGAAGCCUGCUCUUUGGAUGGUUUUGUCAGAUGUACUCCAGAAACUGUCAGUUGUGGUUUAGAAGAAAUUCUUCCCGUAAGAGAAGAGGACUACAUAACAUGUGUGAAGAUAAUCCAGAAAUGGUCUCUUCUAUGUGUGUUCCUGCCUCUGAAGACUUUCCAGUGGGACCGAUAGAGGUGGAAACCAGUGAUAGUGAUGAACCUGGCCAUACCCAGACUCUUGAGGGUUUCCAGCAUCACUUUUCUGUAGAGAUUCUUCUUGAAAGGAUCAAGCAAAGACCACUCCUCCUGAGUGAUGUUCAAAGCCAGAUCCUCAAAGGCCACUGACACCUAACACACUCCGCUUCCCGACUCCUGUAGUUCUCCUGGCAUCCUCCCUACAGCUCCUGCAGCCAAUGGAAGUCACAGUGCCACUAAGGACUCCCCUCCCUUGGAACACACAGUGCAGGUGACACUGCAGUUGGCAGCAGAAUCUCAUCCAGGGCAAAUCUGUGCAUACUGCGAAAACUCCC